UUUUCUUUUUCCCGCGAGUUCCAGGGAGGGAAAGCACCCUCUCUCUCAGGGAGCGAGGCUGGAUCCUCCAUGGCGCCAUGCCGACGAUGGAAGGAGGAUACAGACUGCGGGCGUGGGUUGCCGCAGUUCAUCAUUAGGAAUUGCGAGCAGCAGCUCCUAUCCAUCAGCCUCUCGCCGGACCAGACCAGAUUCUCCACUUGCCUCUGGUGGUAGAGUCCACUGAAGGUUGGGCAUCUAAAAGGUCGAGAGACAGAGGAACGAAGUGGAGAAGAGUUCGAUCGGCCUUGGUCCUCGCUCGUCGAUCUAUCGAUCCAUCGAAAGCCGACAAACAGAUGACCGUUUGUAGAUCGAGGGCAACGGAGAGGUUUCCAGAGAGAGUUCACCGUCCCUCAUUGUUCACGAUUUCACCACUUAGCGAUCGAUCGAUCGGUCAAUCUUUUUCUUACAUUCUACAGAACCCUACAAGUUUUUCUCUUCUCUGCGGUUCCCUCUUACAGUGCAAAAGCGUUGAGCGGGGCUCUUGGUCUGACUGUACAGAUCACGUGUUCGACAAGACUUGCACGAACUCGAGGGUUUAUGAGCGCCAUACGAAGGAUGUCAACCAAGCAGCAGUCAAGGGAUUCAAUGGAACUGUUUUCGCUUAUGGGCAGACCAGCAGUGGGAAAGCUUUCACAAUAAUUUGGUAGAUUUGUCUGGUUCAGAGCGUAUUCAAAGACUGGUGCUGGUGGCAUACGUUUGAAGGAAGGGAAAUACAAAAAUAAAAGCUUAAUGGCCCUUGGAAAUGUUAUCAACAGACUUAGUGAUAGUGGUGUUAGGCAAAGGACAUAUUCCUUACCGUGAUAGCAAGCUCACCGCAAUUCUUCAGGCUGCUUUUGGAAACAAUGCAAAGACUCCCAUUAUCUGUACUGUUGCACUUGAAGAGGUUCAUGUUGAUGAAACAAAGGGGACUUUGCAGUUCGCUGGUAGAGCUAAGCACAUCACAAAUUGUGUUAAAGUGAAUGAGGGAGCUUUUAAUUGCUGCCAAUAGGAAGAGUAUAGACGAUCACAUUGUCUUCUUGGGCUGGUUUGAAGACCAGAAGCUGAAGGAGCCAAAAGUUAUGGAAUUCCAGCAAGACAAGUGGAUGCCAAUGAUUCAAAUGAGAGCAAAUGGUGAUGAAAACUUGUUAGUGGGCUUCUGUGUGGAUUUAAAUGUUGAUGAUGGAAAAUUUGAAAUUGAAGUGGAUGGUGGAGGAAGGAUUCAACUUUCUUAUUGCAUUAUGCUAUGUCUUACUGUUGAUGGGAUGCUUACCUUGUUCCGUGUUGCCAAGACCUGAAGGAGAUGCUAGUUCGAUGCGGGUUCCUGUUUGAAUGCGACACAGAUACGGAAGUGAUCCCAAAGUUAGCUAAGUUGGCUUAUGAUACGCUGAUGGAGCAUAAGGAUGGAGAUGGCCAAGAUGAUGCGUUUGAGAAUCCAUACUCUAUUUGUACAGCUUCUGAAAAGUCUCUGUUGAGCUAUUUGCAUCUGCUAUCAUUGUUUUCUUCAGCCCAACGAUAGGUUUAUUCAAUUCGACAGUGUUAGGACCUGCUUAUACACCUCUAAAUAAUCUCAUUCUUCCUGAUUAAACGUGAUUAAGCCAACAUUGAUCAAUGCAAAACCCUUGCUUUUAACAUGAAAGAUGUGUUGCACUCUUCCUUUAGAGAAGCUAUUUCCGAUGGAGAACUGAACGGCCUUUAGCAGAAAAGAGGACAUCCCGCCCCCAAGCUGGGUAGCCUUCAAAUAUGUCCCUCAAGAAGAAUGGUGUUGUACAUGACAUGGUGCUUGUG